AUUUCACUGCUGUAUUAAUCUGAGAUGACAGCAGGCGACCCGGGCCGGAGAGAGCUGUUGUGUCUCUGUCUCCUGCUGUCACUUUGCUUGCUGUUUGUCAUCCAUUGCACGCGGUGGCACGAAGACAUCCAUCAUGAACCUGUUCUGCUUUUCAUUGGAGGGGUCAAUGGACAGCCUGUAUGAGGCAGUUCAGAGUUCCAGUGAGGGCCCAACACGACCUGUUCCAAGCCGCUCCUGCAGCCGCUCCUGCAGCCCAGCAUCCCUUCUAGAUGAUAACACAAAGUGGCAAAGCCCAGGAAGAUCUGUUUCGAUGGAGAUGCCUCGAAUGACUGUGACACACUCAAA